rnacentral:lncRNA from 11 species
GUCAUCUCUUUGCAGACUUCAAGUUAAGAGGAGCAGAAAUCUAAUAGAUAAGCAUAGUUCCUGUAUUUAUCCAGACAGUUUGGGCAACUACCAUAGAUCCCAGCCAAUGUUUUCAUUGUCAAGGGUUGUGGGAGAUGUAGUCCAAAACAGCUGGAGCUGAUUGAUCCCUCACCCAACCAAUCCCCAGCCGUCAUUCUCCUUGCCAAGGGAAUCCCUUCCUGGAAUCCAUGGUGUCAGUGGAGCCUUCAAACAUUCCUGGCGCAGAUCCUAGCCAGC